AUUGAACGCUGGCGGCAGGCCUAACACAUGCAAGUCGAACGAGGGGCGGACGGGUGAGUACUGUCUGGGAAACUGAGUGAGGGAGGGGGAUCACUACUGGAAACGGUAACUUAUACCGCAUACCAUCGGAUGUGCCCAGAUGGGAUUUGGGAGGAGGGGGGGUUAAGGCUCACCUAGGCGACGAUCCCUAGCUGGUCGGAGAGGAUGACCAGCCACACUGUAACUUAGACACGGUCCAGACUCCUACGGGAGGCAGCAGUGGGGAAUAUUGCACACUGGGCGCAAGCCUGAUGCAGCCAUGCCGGGUGUAUGAAGAAGGCCUUCGGGUUCUAAAGUACUUUCAGCGGGGAGGCGUUACCCGCAGAAGAAGCACCGGCUAACUACGUGCCAGCAGUCGCGGUAAUAC
rnacentral:rRNA from 1 species